UACAGAGGGUGCAAGCGUUAAUCGGAAUUACUGGGCGUAAAGCGUGCGCAGACGGUUGCGUAAGUCAGAUGUGAAAGCCCCGGGCUCAACCUGGGAAUUGCAUUUGAGACUGCGUAGCUAGGGUGCGGAAGAGGGAAGCGGAAUUUCCGGUGUAGCGGUGAAAUGCGUAGAUAUCGGAAGGAACACCAGUGGCGAAAGCGGCUUCCUGGUCCAGCACCGACGUUCAGGCACGAAAGCGUGGGGAGCAUACAGG
rnacentral:rRNA from 1 species